rnacentral:rRNA from 1 species
ACGGACUCCUACGGGAGGCAGCAGUAGGGAAUCUUCGGCAAUGGACGAAAGUCUGACCGAGCAACGCCGCGUGAGAGUAGAAGGUUUCGUGAUCGUAACAAUCUGUUGUUAGAGAAGAACAAGGACGUUAGUAACUGAACGUCCCCUGACGGUAUCUAACCAGAAAGCCACGGCUAACUACGUGCCAGCAGCCGCGGUAAU